rnacentral:misc_RNA from 1 species
GGAAGUAAAAGUCGUGACAAGGUUUCCGUAGGUGAACCUGCGGAAGGAUCAUUACACAUACUUGUAGGAAACUACAAUGUAUAUCAACCAACUGUGCUCUUUUUCUUUUUUCACCCCAUACAAAAACUAUUUCAUUUUGAAAACUGAUUGUAAUGUGUGCCUUAUCUCGAGAGAGAAAAUCACACUCUGUGACUCUUUUGUUAAAAAAGUUGUCACGUUUUAUAAACUUUUGUACAACUCCUAACAAUGGAUAUCUUGGCUCUC